UACGUAGGGUGCGAGCGUUAAUCGGAAUUACUGGGCGUAAAGCGUGCGCAGGCGGCGCGUUAAGACAGGUGUGAAAGCCCCGAGCUUAACUUGGGAAUUGCGCUUGUGACUGGCGUGCUGGAGUGUGGCAGAGGGAGGUGGAAUUCCACGUGUAGCAGUGAAAUGCGUAGAGAUGUGGAGGAACACCGAUGGCGAAGGCAGCCUCCUGGGUUAACACUGGACGCUCAUGCACGAAAGCGUGGGGAGCAAACAGG
rnacentral:rRNA from 1 species